GUUGUAUAAGCUAAAUAGGUCAAGCGUCCGUUUUGUAAUCGGAAGAAAUGGGGUUCGAUUCCUCAAUACAACA